UUAUCGAGAUGUACCAUAUAAACAGUAAUAAACGUUCAAUUAAUUACAAAUCAGACACAAGUAGAUUAAGCGUAAUUUACUGCAAUGUUUUAAAAUUCUAAAAAUAGCAGAAUAUUAAACAGAUGGCUCGAUAUUGGAACUUUUGACCCUUAACACAUGUGAGAAAAAAUACCUGACUCAGUGCCGCCCUCGACGUUCUCGUGAAACGACAUGCAUAGCUUUAAGUUAAAUUGCUUUAUAUAACAUACCUACAACAAUUCUUUGUUCCUGAUGAAGAUGAAAAAUUAAUAAAUACUCAUCGAAAUAUCGAAUUCAACAGAA
rnacentral:lncRNA from 1 species